CCAAAUGAACUCGGCAAAUUAGUACCGUAACUUCGGGAUAAGGUACGCCCCUAGUAGGAGAACGUGUACAACGGGAGCCAAAUGGGGUUGCAAGAAAUCGGUGGCUGCGACUGUUUAACAAAAACACAGCACUCUGCAAACACGUCAAGUGGACGUAUAGGGUGUGACGCCUGCCCGGUGCCGGAAGGUUAAAUGAUGGGGUGCAAGCUCUUGAUUGAAGCCCCGGUAAACGGCGGCCGUAACAAUAACGGUCCUAAGGUAGCGAAAUUCCUUGUCGGGUAAGUUCCGACCUGCACGAAUGGCGUAACGAUGGCCACACUGUCUCCUCCUGAGACUCAGCGAAAUUGAAGUGUUUGUGAUGAUGCAAUCUCCCCGCCGCAAGACGGAAAGACCCCGUGCACCUUUACUGCACCUUUGCAUUGGACUUCGAUGAGAUCUGUGUAGGAUAGCUGGGAGGCUUUGAAGUGGGGACGCUAGUUCUCAUGGAGCCAACCUUGAAAUACCAGCCUGAUGUUAUUGAGGUUCUAACCUUGACCCAUGAAUCUGGGUCGGGGACCGUGCAUGGCAGGCAGUCUGACUGGGCCGGUCUCCUCCCAAAGAGUAACGGAGGAGUGCGACGGUACGCUUAUCGCGGUCGGCUAUCGCGAUGAAAGUGCAAUGGCAUAAGCGUGCUUAACUGCGAGACUGACAAGUCGAGCAGGUGCGAAAGCAGGUCAUAGUGAUCCGGUGGUUCUGUAUGGAAGGGCCAUCGCUCAACGGAUAAAAGGUACGCCGGGGAUAACAGGCUGAUUCCUCCCAAGAGUUCAUAUCGACGGGGGAGUUUGGCACCUCGAUGUCGGCUCAUCACAUCCUGGGGCUGUAGCCGGUCCCAAGGGUAUGGCUGUUCGCCAUUUAAAGUGGUACGUGAGCUGGGUUCAAAACGUCGUGAGACAGUUUGGUCCCUAUCUGCGGUGGGCGUUGGAAGUUUGAGGGGGGCUGCUCCUAGUACGAGAGGACCGGAGUGGACGAACCUCUGGUGUACCGGUUGUCACGCCAGUGGCAUCGCCGGGUAGCUAAGUUCGGAAGAGAUAACCGCUGAAAGCAUCUAAGCGGGAAACUUGCCUCAAGAUGAGACUUCCCGAGGACUUGAUCCUCCUAAAGGGUCGUGGAAGACCACCACGUUAAUAGGCUGGGUGUGUACGACGAGCAAUCGUCUUAGCUAACCAGUACUAAUUGCCCGUGAGGCUUGAUCCG
rnacentral:rRNA from 1 species